AGGGAAUCGCACGAAUGGAAAUGUGCGUCCAAGCAGUGAGUGUGAGAAGUAGGCAAAUCCGCUUCUCGCGAAGCAUGAGCUGUGAUGGGGAAGGAAAUUAAGUACGGAAGUUCCUGAUUUCACGCUGUCAAGAAAAGCCUCUAGGAAGAGUAGUACUGCCCGUACCGCAAACCGACACAGGUAGAUGAGGAGAGAAUCCUAAGGUGAGCGAGAGAACUCUCGUUAAGGAACUCGGCAAAAUGACCCCGUAACUUCGGGAGAAGGGGUGCUCUAUUAGGGUGCAAGCCCGAGAGAGCCGCAGUGAAUAGGCCCAGGCGACUGUUUAGCAAAAACACAGGUCUCUGCAAAACCGUAAGGUGACGUAUAGGGGCUGACGCCUGCCCGGUGCUGGAAGGUUAAGAGGAGUGCUUAGCUUCGGCGAAGGUACGAAUUGAAGCCCCAGUAAACGGCGGCCGUAACUAUAACGGUCCUAAGGUAGCGAAAUUCCUUGUCGGGUAAGUUCCGACCCGCACGAAAGGCGCAACGAUCUGGGCACUGUCUCAACGAGAGACUCGGUGAAAUUAUAGUACCUGUGAAGAUGCAGGUUACCCGCGACAGGACGGAAAGACCCCGUGGAGCUUUACUGCAACCUGAUAUGGAAUGUUUGUACCGCUUGUACAGGAUAGGUAGGAGCCGAAGAGACGUGUGCGCUAGCAUACGAGGAGGCAAUGGUGGGAUACUACCCUGGCUGUAUGACCAUUCUAACCCGCCACGCUUAGCGCGUGGGGAGACAGUGUCAGGUGGGCAGUUUGACUGGGGCGGUCGCCUCCUAAAGAGUAACGGAGGCGCCCAAAGGUUCCCUC
rnacentral:rRNA from 1 species